rnacentral:rRNA from 1 species
UACAGAGGUCUCAAGCGUUGUUCGGAUUCAUUGGGCGUAAAGGGUGCGUAGGCGGCGCGGUAAGUCGGGAUGUGAAAUCUCGGAGCUUAACUUCGAAACUGCAUUCGAUACUGCCGUGCUUGAGGACUGGAGAGGAGACUGGAAUUUACGGUGUAGCGGUGAAAUGCGUAGAUAUCGUAAGGAAGACCAGUGGCGAAGGCGGGUCUCUGGACAGUUCCUGACGCUGAGGCACGAAGGCCAGGGGGAGCAAACGGGG